rnacentral:rRNA from 1 species
ACGCAUAUAUGCUGGAAUGCUUUAUGCGUAAAAUGGAUUCGUCUGCCCAAGGAUGGGUCUGCGGCCUAUCAGGUAGUAGUGGGUGUAAUGUACCUACUAGCCUACAACGGGUACGGGUUGUGAGAGCAAGAGCCCGGAGAUGGAUUCUGAGACAUGAAUCCAGGCCCUACGGGGCGCAGCAGGCGCGAAAACUUUACAAUGCGGGAAACCGUGAUAAGGGGACACCGAGUGCCAGCAUCAUAUGCUGGCUGUCCAGAUGUGUAAAAUACAUCUGUUAGCAAGGGCCGGGCAAGACCGGUGCCAGCCGCCGCGGUAACACCGGCGGCCCGAGUGGUGAUCGUGAUUAUUGGGUCUAAAGGGUCCGUAGCCGGUUUGGUCAGUCCUCCGGGAAAUCUGAUGGCUCAACCAUUAGGCUUUCGGGGGAUACUGCCAGGCUUGGAACCGGGAGAGGUAAGAGGUACUACAGGGGUAGGAGUGAAAUCUUGUAAUCCCUGUGAGACCACCUGUGGCGAAGGCGUCUUACCAGAACGGGUUCGACGGUGAGGGACGAAAGCUGGGGGCACGAACCGGAUUAGAUACCCGGGUAGUCCCAGCCGUAAACGAUGCUCGCUAGGUGUCAGGCAUGGCGCGACCGUGUCU